GGGUUGUGAGGUUAAGCGACUAAGCGUACACGGUGGAUGCCCUGGCAGUCAGAGGCGAUGAAGGACGUGCUAAUCUGCGAUAAGCGUCGGUAAGGUGAUAUGAACCGUUAUAACCGGCGAUUUCCGAAUGGGGAAACCCAGUGUGAUUCGUCACACUAUCAUUAACUGAAUCCAUAGGUUAAUGAGGCGAACCGGGGGAACUGAAACAUCUAAGUACCCCGAGGAAAAGAAAUCAACCGAGAUUCCCCCAGUAGCGGCGAGCGAACGGGGAGCAGCCCAGAGCCUGAAUCAGUGUGUGUGUUAGUGGAAGCGUCUGGAAAGGCGCGCGAUACAGGGUGACAGCCCCGUACACAAAAAUGCACAUGCUGUGAGCUCGAUGAGUAGGGCGGGACACGUGGUAUCCUGUCUGAAUAUGGGGGGACCAUCCUCCAAGGCUAAAUACUCCUGACUGACCGAUAGUGAACCAGUACCGUGAGGGAAAGGCGAAAAGAACCCCGGCGAGGGGAGUGAAAAAGAACCUGAAACCGUGUACGUACAAGCAGUGGGAGCACAGAGCAAUCUGUGUGACUGCGUACCUUUUGUAUAAUGGGUCAGCGACUUAUAUUCUGUAGCAAGGUUAACCGAAUAGGGGAGCCGAAGGGAAACCGAGUCUUAACUGGGCGUUAAGUUGCAGGGUAUAGACCCGAAACCCGGUGAUCUAGCCAUGGGCAGGUUGAAGGUUGGGUAACACUAACUGGAGGACCGAACCGACUAAUGUUGAAAAAUUAGCGGAUGACUUGUGGCUGGGGGUGAAAGGCCAAUCAAACCGGGAGAUAGCUGGUUCUCCCCGAAAGCUAUUUAGGUAGCGCCUCGUGAAUUCAUCUCCGGGGGUAGAGCACUGUUUCGGCAAGGGGGUCAUCCCGACUUACCAACCCGAUGCAAACUGCGAAUACCGGAGAAUGUUAUCACGGGAGACACACGGCGGGUGCUAACGUCCGUCGUGAAGAGGGAAACAACCCAGACCGCCAGCUAAGGUCCCAAAGUCAUGGUUAAGUGGGAAACGAUGUGGGAAGGCCCAGACAGCCAGGAUGUUGGCUUAGAAGCAGCCAUCAUUUAAAGAAAGCGUAAUAGCUCACUGGUCGAGUCGGCCUGCGCGGAAGAUGUAACGGGGCUAAACCAUGCACCGAAGCUGCGGCAGCGACGCUUAUGCGUUGUUGGGUAGGGGAGCGUUCUGUAAGCCUGCGAAGGUGUGCUGUGAGGCAUGCUGGAGGUAUCAGAAGUGCGAAUGCUGACAUAAGUAACGAUAAAGCGGGUGAAAAGCCCGCUCGCCGGAAGACCAAGGGUUCCUGUCCAACGUUAAUCGGGGCAGGGUGAGUCGACCCCUAAGGCGAGGCCGAAAGGCGUAGUCGAUGGGAAACAGGUUAAUAUUCCUGUACUUGGUGUUACUGCGAAGGGGGGACGGAGAAGGCUAUGUUGGCCGGGCGACGGUUGUCCCGGUUUAAGCGUGUAGGCUGGUUUUCCAGGCAAAUCCGGAAAAUCAAGGCUGAGGCGUGAUGACGAGGCACUACGGUGCUGAAGCAACAAAUGCCCUGCUUCCAGGAAAAGCCUCUAAGCAUCAGGUAACAUCAAAUCGUACCCCAAACCGACACAGGUGGUCAGGUAGAGAAUACCAAGGCGCUUGAGAGAACUCGGGUGAAGGAACUAGGCAAAAUGGUGCCGUAACUUCGGGAGAAGGCACGCUGAUAUGUAGGUGAAGUCCCUCGCGGAUGGAGCUGAAAUCAGUCGAAGAUACCAGCUGGCUGCAACUGUUUAUUAAAAACACAGCACUGUGCAAACACGAAAGUGGACGUAUACGGUGUGACGCCUGCCCGGUGCCGGAAGGUUAAUUGAUGGGGUCAGCGCAAGCGAAGCUCUUGAUCGAAGCCCCGGUAAACGGCGGCCGUAACUAUAACGGUCCUAAGGUAGCGAAAUUCCUUGUCGGGUAAGUUCCGACCUGCACGAAUGGCGUAAUGAUGGCCAGGCUGUCUCCACCCGAGACUCAGUGAAAUUGAACUCGCUGUGAAGAUGCAGUGUACCCGCGGCAAGACGGAAAGACCCCGUGAACCUUUACUAUAGCUUGACACUGAACAUUGAGCCUUGAUGUGUAGGAUAGGUGGGAGGCUUUGAAGUGUGGACGCCAGUCUGCAUGGAGCCGACCUUGAAAUACCACCCUUUAAUGUUUGAUGUUCUAACGUUGACCCGUGAUCCGGGUUGCGGACAGUGUCUGGUGGGUAGUUUGACUGGGGCGGUCUCCUCCUAAAGAGUAACGGAGGAGCACGAAGGUUGGCUAAUCCUGGUCGGACAUCAGGAGGUUAGUGCAAUGGCAUAAGCCAGCUUGACUGCGAGCGUGACGGCGCGAGCAGGUGCGAAAGCAGGUCAUAGUGAUCCGGUGGUUCUGAAUGGAAGGGCCAUCGCUCAACGGAUAAAAGGUACUCCGGGGAUAACAGGCUGAUACCGCCCAAGAGUUCAUAUCGACGGCGGUGUUUGGCACCUCGAUGUCGGCUCAUCACAUCCUGGGGCUGAAGUAGGUCCCAAGGGUAUGGCUGUUCGCCAUUUAAAGUGGUACGCGAGCUGGGUUUAGAACGUCGUGAGACAGUUCGGUCCCUAUCUGCCGUGGGCGCUGGAGAACUGAGGGGGGCUGCUCCUAGUACGAGAGGACCGGAGUGGACGCAUCACUGGUGUUCGGGUUGUCAUGCCAAUGGCACUGCCCGGUAGCUAAAUGCGGAAGAGAUAAGUGCUGAAAGCAUCUAAGCACGAAACUUGCCCCGAGAUGAGUUCUCCCUGACUCCUUGAGAGUCCUGAAGGAACGUUGAAGACGACGACGUUGAUAGGCCGGGUGUGUAAGCGCAGCGAUGCGUUGAGCUAACCGGUACUAAUGAACCGUGAGG
rnacentral:rRNA from 1 species